rnacentral:rRNA from 1 species
AACGAACGCUGGCGGCAUGCCUAACACAUGCAAGUCGAACGAGACCUUCGGGUCUAGUGGCGCACGGGUGCGUAACGCGUGGGAAUCUACCCUUGGGUUCGGAAUAACAGUUAGAAAUGACUGCUAAUACCGGAUGAUGACGUAAGUCCAAAGAUUUAUCGCCCAAGGAUGAGCCCGCGUAAGAUUAGCUUGUUGGUGGGGUAAUGGCCUACCAAGGCGACGAUCUUUAGCUGGUCUGAGAGGAUGAUCAGCCACACUGGGACUGAGACACGGCCCAGACUCCUACGGGAGGCAGCAAUGGGGAAUAUUGGACAAUGGGCGAAAGCCUGAUCCAGCAAUGCCGCGUGAGUGAUGAAGGCCUUAGGGUUGUAAAGCUCUUUUACCAGGGAUGAUAAUGACAGUACCUGGAGAAUAAGCUCCGGCUAACUCCGUGCCAGCAGCCGCGGUAA